UUUAGCACGUGCUACCAAACCAAAGCAAGUUAUUCCGACAAGCUGCUGAUCCGCAAGUCUAAUCUGUGGGGUGACGCCACCUGUCUGAAGAUGGCCAUGGCCACUGAUGCCCGUUAUUUCUUCAGCAAUGAUGGAGUACAGUCCCUGCUGUCUAAGAUAUGGUGGGGUGACAUGGAAAGAGGAACAGAGCUCUGGAAACUCGCGCUGACGAUGAUCAUUCCUCCUCUCGUCUACACCAACCUCAUCGAUUUCAAGUCAGAAAAAACCAGAGUAUACAACAGUGAAGGCGAUCACGAGGACUCAAAUAACAUCAGGUGACCAACAAAAGGUACUGCUACAAAUUCCCAACCCAAGAAGCGCCCGUUUUGGCUUUCCC